CUACGGUGCUGAAGCAACAAAUGCCCUGCUUCCAGGAAAAGCCUCUAAGCCUCAGGUAACAUCAGAUCGUACCCGAAACCGACACAGGUGGUCAGGUAGAGAAUACCAAGGCGCUUGAGAGAACCCGGGUGAAGGAACUAGGCAAAAUGGUGCCGUAACUUCGGGAGAAGGCACGCUGACACGUAGGUGAAGCGGUUUACCCGUGGAGCUGAAGUCAGUCGAAGAUACCAGCUGGCUGCAACUGUUUAUUAAAAACACAGCACUGUGCAAACACGAAAGUGGACGUAUACGGUGUGACGCCUGCCCGGUGCCGGAAGGUUAAUUGAUGGGGUCAGCGCAAGCGAAGCUCCUGAUCGAAGCCCCGGUAAACGGCGGCCGUAACUAUAACGGUCCUAAGGUAGCGAAAUUCCUUGUCGGGUAAGUUCCGACCUGCACGAAUGGCGUAAUGAUGGCCAGGCUGUCUCCACCCGGGACUCAGUGAAAUUGAACUCGCUGUGAAGAUGCAGUGUACCCGCGGCAAGACGGAAAGACCCCGUGAACCUUUACUAUAGCUUGACACUGAACACUGGUCCUUGAUGUGCAGGAUAGGUGGGAGGCUUUGAAGUGUGGACGCCAGUCUGCAUGGAGCCGUCCUUGAAAUACCACCCUUUAAUGGCUGGUGUUCUAACGUAGACCCGUGAACCGGGUUGCGGACAGUGUCUGGUGGGUAGUUUGACUGGGGCGGUCUCCUCCUAAAGCGUAACGGAGGAGCACGAAGGUUGGCUAAUCCUGGUCGGACAUCAGGAGGUUAGUGCAAUGGCAUAAGCCAGCUUGACUGCGAGCGUGACGGCGCGAGCAGGUGCGAAAGCAGGUCAUAGUGAUCCGGUGGUUCUGAAUGGAAGGGCCAUCGCUCAACGGAUAAAAGGUACUCCGGGGAUAACAGGCUGAUACCGCCCAAGAGUUCAUAUCGACGGCGGUGUUUGGCACCUCGAUGUCGGCUCAUCACAUCCUGGGGCUGAAGUAGGUCCCAAGGGUAUGGCUGUUCGCCAUUUAAAGUGGUACGCGAGCUGGGUUUAGAACGUCGUGAGACAGUUCGGUCCCUAUCUGCCGUGGGCGCUGGAGAACUGAGGGGGGCUGCUCCUAGUACGAGAGGACCGGAGUGGACGCAUCACUGGUGUUCGGGUUGUCAUGCCAAUGGCACUGCCCGGUAGCUAAAUGCGGAAGAGAUAAGUGCUGAAAGCAUCUAAGCACGAAACUUGCCCCGAGAUGAGUUCUCCCUGAGACUACAAGUCUCCUGAAGGAACGUUGAAGACGACGACGUUGAUAGGCCGGGUGUGUAAGCGCAGCGAUGCGUUGAGCUAACCGGUACUAAUGAACCGUGAGG
rnacentral:rRNA from 3 species